UUACUCUUUCACUGGGUUCUACAUCCUGCCU
rnacentral:piRNA from 1 species